rnacentral:rRNA from 1 species
AACAGGAUUAGAUACCCUGGUAGUCCAUGCCGUAAACGAUGUCGACUUGGAGGUUGUUCCCUUGAGGAGUGGCUUCCGGAGCUAACGCGUUAAGUCGACCGCCUGGGAGUACGGCCGCAAGGUUAAAACUCAAAUGAAUUGACGGGGGCCCGCACAAGCGGUGGAGCAUGUGGUUUAAUUCGAUGCAACGCGAAGAACCUUACCUACUCUUGACAUCCAGAGAACUUAGCAGAGAUGCUUUGGUGCCUUCGGGAACUCUGAGACAGGUGCUGCAUGGCUGUCGUCAGCUCGUGUUGUGAAAUGUUGGGUUAAGUCCCGCAACGAGCGCAACCCUUAUCCUUUGUUGCCAGCGGUUAGGCCGGGAACUCAAAGGAGACUGCCAGUGAUAAACUGGAGGAAGGUGGGGAUGACGUCAAGUCAUCAUGGCCCUUACGACCAGGGCUACACACGUGCUACAAUGGCGCAUACAAAGAGAAGCGAUCUCGCGAGAGCCAGCGGACCUCAUAAAGUGCGUCGUAGUCCGGAUUGGAGUCUGCAACUCGACUCCAUGAAGUCGGAAUCGCUAGUAAUCGUGAAUCAGAAUGUCACGGUGAAUACGUUCCCGGGCCUUGUACACACCGCCCGUCACACCAUGGGAGUGGGUUGCAAAAGAAGUAGGUAGCUUAACCUUCGGGAGGGCGCUUACCACUUUGUGAUUCAUGACUGGGGUGAAGUCGUAACAAGGUAACC